rnacentral:lncRNA from 1 species
AUCUGGCACCUGAUGUGGCGGUUCGCGUCAGGUGUCACCACUGAGAGCCACCAGCUCUACGGUCCCUUCAUGCGGCAGCUGUCAGUCUGCAUCUUUGAGUGGGAUGCAGGCGAUGUCCGCAGACUGCUGGAGGCCAAGAGGUCUGAGCUGGAGGGGAAGCACGGGAUGGUCGGCCUCACCGAGGCUUCGAGGAAGAUCGGCAGGAAGGAGAUGGCGCUUCACUGUCGGCGUCGUACGCGUAGAGCUGCGGCGACCUAAUUCUUUCUCCUUGACCUCCUCGAGACCUUCAACGGCGAGAAGGGGGUCGACACCCUGGGCAUCCCGUUGCUGGACUCAAUCCGCAUCCAGGAAAUCUGGAAAGAGCAGAGGCGCCACCUCCACUGCAUACAGGACCCACCCGGUGUACAGCUGUACACCGAGACUGGCAAAAUCACCAAGGGCAGCGUGAUUUUGCCGGUUUAUCGCUGCGCACCGGGCUCCACAUCCUUGGAGUCAUUCCACCUCCACCGGUUCAUCCCAGGUACCAGGGCAAAUGCAAUGCAUUUCCAGGCAUUCCUGUUGGAUGGACUGGUGAGGUGGAACGAGGACCGUGCGCAGACAGCAGUGGAGGGAAAGAACAGGCAGCCCCUGCUCUCCUACAGUGGCCACCUGCAGCACAUCCUUAACCUUAGCAGCCAAAAAGUGCUUGGCAAGGAACAGGGUAAGGACUACACCAAGCCUAGCAAGUACACGGGGGAACUCCUCGGAGUGGAGUACCUGUACUCGCAGACUGGCAGAGUGCUGCAGGAUGUCAGCGCGGACCCUGACCUUCCGGAAGAGGCAGCCGCCGUUGUGCAGCUCGACGAGGAGGACGAGGGCUUUCAGGAGGAUGUGGACCAGACAGUCCACAUCUCUCAUGUCACUCCCAUGAUCGCCCCGUCCUCCAGCUCAGCGGCACCUCUGUCAGGGGAACCCGCUGACACACUCAGGUCUGGGCCAUCCAGUCCCACCGCCCCUGAAGACGGAAGCUCUCCUGAGGCCCCUGAUCAACACGGUUCUCCUCACCCUGAACACUCCUCUGAUUCAGAGGGGGAGACUCAAGGCCCUGAUGCAAUGCCGGGCUACCAGCAUGUCCGCAGGCUUGCCAGGGCCUUGGUGGAGGUGAGGAGCCGUCAGGGGCUGUCGGACCGCAGGGUAGACGGUCUGGUGGCGCUGUGGCUGGCGCUGCCAGACUUUGACAAGCAACGUUUGAUCUACCCUGCCCGACACCAGGAGAGGAUCGUUCAAGGGCGGUUCAAGGCAUCGAAGGGGAAGUCGUCCAUUAUCCUAGGAAAAGACUCUCUCCAACGUUGCCUUCUCGGACUCAACUCGGGCCCUGCCAAUUGGCCGGGCACCAGCCGUUUGGUGGAGGCAAUUUGCAGUCAGCUCUGCCAAAUCCAUCCCAGCGCCACGCAGUCUGCCGGCGUCAAAAAGAGCAGGUGGGCGCUCAUUCUGGCUGACUACGUGGCCAUCAGGGAGGCAGUGCUGAACAGCCCGAGGUUGAUGGCCCAGACCAACCUUCAGCUCUUUGAGCUGAAUCAAAGGACCAUCAGUCAGUGGUAAGACAUUAACUUAUGGAAGACUUGUUACAUAAAGCCAUGUGACUAAUGACAAUCUGAGUGACAGCUUGCGUUUGUUUUCUCUACCUGUUUCAGGUACUCUCGGCGUCAGAAGGAGAGGGAGAGGAUGGUGCUGCAGCAGGGAUUGGGGCUCGCUGUUGCCCCCAGCGUCACCGCCCAGC